rnacentral:rRNA from 1 species
GAUGAACGCUGGCGGCGUGCCUAAUACAUGCAAGUCGAGCGAACAGACGAGGAGCUUGCUCCUCUGACGUUAGCGGCGGACGGGUGAGUAACACGUGGAUAACCUACCUAUAAGACUGGUAUAACUUCGGGAAACCGGAGCUAAUACCGUAUAAUAUAUUGAACCGCAUGGUUCAAUAGUGAAAGACGGUUUUGCUGUCACUUAUAGAUGGAUCCGCGCCGCAUUAGCUAGUUGGUAAGGUAACGGCUUACCAAGGCAACGAUGCGUAGCCGACCUGAGAGGCGGAUCGCCCACACUGGGACUGAGACACGGUCCAGACUCCUGCGGGAGGCAGCAGUAGGGAAUCUUCCGCAAUGGGCGAAAGCCUGACGGAGCAAGGCCGCGUGAGUGAUGAAGGUCUUCGGAUCGUAAAACUCUGUUAUUAGGGAAGAACAAAUGUGUAAGUAACUAUGCACGUCUUGACGGUACCUAAUCAGAAAGCCACGGCUAACUACGUG